rnacentral:rRNA from 1 species
UACGGGGGGGGCAAGCGUUGUUCGGAAUUACUGGGCGUAAAGGGCUCGUAGGCGGCCAACUAAGUCGGAUGUGAAAUCCACAGGCUCAACUUGGGAACUGCAUCCGAUACUGGAUGGCUUGAAUUCGGGAGAGGGAUGCAGAAUUCCAGGUGUAGCGGUGAAAUGCGUAGAUAUCUGGAGGAAUACCGGUGGCGAAGGCGGCAUCCUGGACCGACAUUGACGCUGAGGAGCGAAAGCUAGGGGAGCAAACGGG